CAGCCCUAAACGACGCGCGUUAGGUGUAUCGGUGACCACGAGUCACCGAGGUGCCGAAGGGAAACCGUGAAACGUGCCGCCUGGGAAGUACGGUCGCAAGGCUGAAACUUAAAGGAAUUGGCGGGGGGAGCACCACAACGGGUGGAGCCUGCGGUUUAAUUGGACUCAACGCCGGGAAGCUCACCGGAUAAGACAGCUGAAUGAUAGUCGGGAUGAAGACUCUACUUGACUAGCUGAGAGGAGGUGCAUGGCGUAGUCGUGU
rnacentral:rRNA from 1 species